CACUUAUUCAAGCUAAACGGGCCAGCAGAAGCUUGGAUAAGCGAAUAUGUUGGAUAAUAAGGAGGGAUUAAGGAAAAGCCUAUUAAACAUCAAAUUAGGUUAUGAUUUUACAAAUUAAGCGCCAAAACAUCAUGUUAUACAACAAAUUUGACAGAAAGAGUAGUUCAGUACGCAGUAAUGUUAUGUUGUAAUUACUGUAUUUAUGAAUUUAGCACCAAAAUAUCAUGAUAUAUUGAAAACAUUUACUACAAAAAUGGCUUGGAUUAUCCAGAAGCUUGGAUAAGCGAGGCUUGGAUAAGUGAGACUCUACUGUAUUUAGAAAGGCCGGCACAUUUUGUGUUCAAAUAAAUUAUGCUAUCAAUCAGAAUUAAUGCGCUGUCGAAGGCUUUCAUGGCCAGAAUCACUGGGUUGCUCUGAAUUUCCUGGGCUGUAUGGCUGUGUUCCAGCAGCAUUCUCUCCCGAUGUUUUGCCCACAUCUAUGGCAGGCAUUCUCAGAAGUUGUGAGGAAAUAAUGUGCUGUCGGAGGCUUUCAUGGCCAGAAUCACUGGAUUGCUGUGAGUUUUCCAGGCUGAAUGGCCAUGUUCCAGUAGCAUUCUCUCCCGACGUUUUGCCUGUGUCUGUAGUUUGCAUCUUCAGAGGUGUGUUAGAGGUGAGGCAAGUGGAGUGUGUGUAUGUGUGUAUGUAUGUGUAUGUGUAUCUGUGGAAUAUCCAGGGUGGGAGAAAGAACCCUUGUCUGUUUGAAGCAAGUGUGAAUAUUGCCAUUAGCAAGCUUGUAUAGCAUUGAAUAGUCAUGAAGCUGCAAAGUCAAUAAGUGAGGGUACCUGCAUCGAAGUAGGGGCUGGGCUGUGGAGCAGGCUGGUGAGCAGCCUGCUGCAAUAAAUCACUCUGACCAUGAGGUCAUGAGUUCGAGGCCAGCCCGUGACGGGGUGAUCACCCAUCAAUUAAAAAAUAAAAAUUAGCCCCUGCUCGUUGCUGACCUAGCAACCCAAAAGAUAGUUGCAUCUAUCAAGUAGGAAAUAAGGUACCACUUAUGAAGUGGGGAGGCAAAUUUAACUAAUUUACGACGUUGGAAUGAGGAAGUGCCGUCGCAAUGGAUGAUGAAGCAGCUGCUCCCCCCUGUGGCCAGAAUCGAACAUCCCCUCAGGAGAAGGUUAAAUUGCUUCUGUGUCUGUCUCUGUCUCGGUUUUAUGUGUAUAUGGGCAUUGAAUGUUUGCCCUAUAUGUAUAUAAUAUGAUGCGGCCUGAGUCCCCUUCAGGGUGAGAAGGGUGGAAUAUAAAUACUGUAAAUAAAUAAGUAGCCUGGCCUUUAUUGCCUGGAGGCCCCCUCUGUUUGGGAGGUGGUAACUGGCUUGUUGUCUGGAGUUCUCAUGUUUCUAAGUGGUCUUCUUUAUUUACUGUCUUGGUAUUUUGUAAUACUGGUAACCAGAUUUUGUUCAUUUUCAUGGUUUCCUCCUUUCUGUUGAAAUAUUCCACGUGCCUGUGGGAGGAUUAAAACCAACUCGGAAGGAUUAUAGACUACAGAAGAAGGGAUGUAAACAAAUAAAUCAGGCGGGCUUUAGGACCCAGCAUCUCCUCCGCAGUAGCUCCUCCGCUUCAUUUAUUCGCGACUGCCAUAGAGGCGAGGCUUCCUGGAGAGGCAGGAAGUGGAGUCCACAUGGACUUCCCUUUCCGGCCAGAGCCUUGCUGGGAGAGGAAGGAGGAGAAACAGGCCAUCUUCUGGCUUAAAUUGGAUGGUUAAAACAUCUUGCUACCGCAAGAAAAACUUCACAAUUGAUCCUUCAGCGAGGCCCUGCUGCCUCAGCUAUGCAGCAGAAUACUCUUCUGUCUCCAGGAAUGCAGGUUUGGCAUUUCCCAGUAAUGUGGCCAGUCUUUUGCCUGCAAGAGAAUAUGGCAGAAGAGAAAAGAACGACUUCAUCUGAUCUGGUAUUUGUUUCAAAGCACCGCUCAUUGGUGGAAAAGAAAGAAUCACGGAAAAGCUGUCCUACUAUUCAGGGUGAGAGCAGAGGAGCUGUGCAGAAGAACCGAGGGAAGGAAGGGCUCAGUUCAGAGUUACAGCGCCAGCACUUCAGAAGUUACCACUAUGAAGCAGUUGAGGGGCCCCGGGAGGUUUGCAGCCGCCUCCACUCUCUCUGCCGCCUGUGGCUGAAGCCAGAGCGACACUCCAAGGCGGAGAUGCUGGAUCUGGUGAUCCUGGAGCAGUUCCUGAGCAUCCUGCCCUCAGAGAUGGGGAGCUGGGUCCGAGAGUGUGGGGCAGAGACCUGUUCCCAGGCAGUGGCCCUGGCAGAAGGCUUCCUCCUGAGUCGGGAAGAAAAGAUACUGGAAGAGCAUAUAACACAGAACAACCUGAUGUGUAAAAAGGAGGCAUUUAGGAAAGAAGUCACUGACAUUCAGGAGGCAGAGAAGGGUCGCUUGUAUUCUGGACAAGGAGCGCCAUCCCUGGAGGUGACCCAAGGAAACAACACAAGUCCCACCAAUUUGGGAAGUGGAAGACGACCUGGACCAAGAGAUAGUGACUCAGAUGGUUUGAGAACACCUCCUGAGAGCCUGGAUCAGGUAACCUUGGAGGAAGUGGCUGUGUAUUUCAGUGAGGAGGAGUGGGCCCUGCUGGAUCCGAACCAAAGGGCCUUGUAUGGGGAAGUAAUUGAGGAGAACCUGGCAAUCAUGGCUUCUUUAGGUGAUGGGCUGGCAAAUGGGAAUGAAGGAGACCCAAGGAUGUCUUUGGACGCUCAGCAGAAUAUGGAGACCAACGCCUCUCUUUUUCAGACUGGCGAUAUCUAUGAAAUCUCUGUCCAGGAAAAAAUAGGAGAUGGGGAUGGAAAGAAUAAUGAUCCUUACCUUGAAUAUUUGGAGGACCUCAGUGUGAAAGGAAGCCUUCAUAGCAGAACUCAUACAGGCAGAUCUCAGUCAAGAGAGAAAAACUUUGAUUACAAGGGGUAUGAAAAACUGUACAAUGUCUUGGAGUCUGGAAAAAAAUUCACUCCAAGAGCUCACUUGACUUCUCAUCCGAAACCGCUACCGAUGGGGAAACAGUUUAAGUGUCUGGAGUGUGGGAAGAGCUUCAUGUGGAAGAUGAGCCUCGUGCUUCACCAGGCCACGCACACAGAGGAGAAGCCAUUCGCAUGCCGGGAUUGUGGGAGGAAAUUCAGCCGGAGAGAACACCUCCUCAGCCAUCAAACAACCCACACCGGGGAGAAGUCAUUUAAGUGCUUGGAUUGUGGGAAAAUCUUCAGCCGCAAUGCCCACCUCGUUUCGCAUCGAACGACCCACACCAUGGAGAAGCCCUUCAUAUGUUUGCAGUGUGGGAAAGGCUUUGGCUGGAAGUCUAAUUACACUCGUCAUCAAUUGACUCACACAGCAGAGAAGCCGUUUAAAUGCCCGGAGUGUGGGAAAAGUUUCCGGCUGAAGCAAAGCCUGGCAGACCAUCGAACAACUCAUGGAGCGGAUCACCCGUUUCAGUGCCUGGAGUGCGGCAAAAAAUUCGUUUGGAAGAAGAGCCUUGCCAAACAUCAAGCCUCUCAUGUGAUGGAGCAACCAUUUAAAUGCCUGGAGUGUGGGAAGAGUUUUGUUUGCCAGAAGAGUCUUAUCGAGCACCAAAGCUCUCACGCAGCAGAGAAACCCUUUAAAUGCCAGGAAUGCGGGAAGAGUUUCAGUUGGAAGAAGAGCCUUGCAGAUCACCAAGCAACUCACACAGAAGAGAAACCAUUUCAGUGCCUGGAGUGUGGAAAGAGCUUCAGUUGGAAGUCAAACUUCACUCGUCACCAGUUAACGCACACUGGGGAGAAACCAUUCAAAUGCCUUGAGUGUGGAAAGACCUUCAGUCGGAAAAGCUACCUUUCCGCUCAUCAGUUGGAUCACACUGGGGAGAAGCCGUUCAAAUGCCAGGAGUGCGGAAAGAGUGUCAUGCAGAAGGGACACGUGGCUCUCCAUCAAUUAACUCGUACAGGGGAGGCACCAUUUAAAUGCCAAGAAUGUGUAAGCAGCUUCAGUCAGAAAAAUUUCUUUUCUGGUGGAAAUUUUAGUCAGAAGCCACACCUCCCUUCUUUUCAUCGAUCUCUGCAUGUAGAGAAAAAUCGAUUUGAAUUCCAGGACUAUGUAAAAGUUUUCAGGGAGGAGCCAACAAUGAUGGGACACAUUAAUUUUAAUAGGCGAGACAUGGCAUAAAUGUUUUCAGAAUGGGAAAAUGUUUUAGAUGGGGGAAAAGCUUGUCUCCAAAUAAUUUAUGGAGAGGAGAAUCCGUUUUUUCCAUUUAGGUCCUUAGAGUUUGGACAGAGGCAUGGGAGGACAAAGUGCCAUUUCACAUGUAGAGAAAGGCUACAAACAUACCGCCAGUGUAAUGUUUGUUGGAAUACAUGAAGAAUCAAUGUUGUUUGAAUUCUUCAUAGAAUUGGUAGGUAGAAGGAUAUAGAAAGUGUUUUAAUUAAUGGGAGAGCUGGAGUGGUCCCAGAUGUUCAUCUUUCUGAGGUAGACAUUGAAGAUAAAAGGCAGCAGUGUGAAAUUUUAGCCAGAUGUGUCUUAAUUAAAUUACCUUUUUUCAUGUCAGGAGCAACUUGAGAAACUGCAGGUCGCUUCUGGUGUGAGAGAAUUGGCUGUCUGCAAGGACAUUGCCCAGAGGACACUCGGAUGUUUUAUAUUUUAGCAUCCUUGUAGGAGGCUUCUCUCAUGUCCCCGCAUGGGGAACUGGAGCUGACAGAGGGAGCUCAUCCACUUUCUCCCCGGAUUCAAACUGGCAACCUUCAGGUCAGCAACCCAACCUUCAGGUUAGCAAUCCUGCCAACACAAGGAUUUAACCCAUCGUGGGCUCCAUUUAUUAUCUGAUACAGUAGAGUUCCAGUUAUCCAACAUAAACGGGUGGGCCGAAUGUUGCAUAACUGGAACUGUCGGAUAAUAGGGAGGCUCUAUUAUCCCUCCCUGCAAAUUGGGUGCUUGACAAAGGGAAGAGUCUCGUCCGUCCGGCAAGCACCCGGUUUAGAGAACACGCACCGAGCUUCUCCAAAGUGCCAGGCACUUGGUGAAAGGAAGAGACUCUUCCCUCCGCCAAGCACCCAAUUUAGAGAAGACCAGUUGCUGCUUAGAAACAUGCACCGGGCUUCUCCAAAGUGCCGGGUGCUUGCCAGAGGGACGAGAUUUUUCCCUCCAGGCAAGCACCUGGCACUUUGGAGAAGCCCGCUUCAUGUUGCUGCCUAGCAAUGCACACCGGGCAUCUCUCCAGCACUGGGUGCUUGCCAGGAGGGAAAGUCUGCGCCAGCUGUGUCUCGUCCCUUCAGCAAGCACCCUGGACCACGCGGCCUGGCCUGGCACAUUGGAUAAUACGGUACGUUGGAUGACCGGAAGUCAGAUAACCAGAACUCUACUGUACUCUAAAAGACAAAAACCUAGUGUGCGAAUUCACCCAGGGAGGUCUUAGUUAAAUUCUCUUAAUACAUUAGAAGAGAGCAAUUUCUACCUCUCUUAAUUGUUUUUCUGAUAACAAAGUACUACAGUUAGCAGGAGUUUGCUAUCCAAAUGGCUUUCCCCAGACCCAAUCAUCUAUCACAAUACAAAAAUAGUAAUGGCAACCAGAGCGAAUCAAUCUGAAGCAGUUUUCAAACUGAUUAACUUUCCAACUCCAGAAGACCUCACUCCCCAGGAUCCACUGCUGACUCUCAUUGGGGUGAUUACAUCCAGCCAAGUAUUCUCAGGACAAGAAAAGGUUCAGCUUCUGCCCUGCUUAACACUCCUCACACUUUGUGAUCAUUUGGGUGCAACCUGCUGUGUUGAACUCUUCUAUCAAACUGACAAAAAGUUUAAAUGCUGUAUGUCUUGUUUAUUGCCGCCUUUAACCACUACAAUCCAGUGUUAAAAGUGCAGACAAGUUGCUGAUAAAAUCGCAAAAUGAAUUAUAA